CGUUUCAUAAAAUAAAUUGAGUGAAGAAAUUGUCAAUUACAAAUGCCUUCCUAGAUAGCCAUUUUGCUACGCUUCUCCCCCACCAACAAUCUUUUCCUUCUAUUUUCUCUCUUCUCUUCACCAUCUCAACUUCUCUCUCCCUUCACAGCAGUGUCGAUCCUUUCUGUUUUGCCACCAAUGCUACUCAUUGCGUCACCAGCACCGCUCAUUGUGCCUCCAGUGCUGCCCUUUGAGCCAUUGGUUCCUUUUCAUUGAGACACCAACCCCAGCCCUGGAGCCAUCAACAUCGCUCCAUCGGGCCACUGCUGUCGGGCUCGAAAGUCGACGAGGUCAUCACCCUUGAAAGUCGUCGAGGUCGUCAAUGGAGAUGGAGAUCCCUUUCCCCUUUAUUGUAUUAUAUCAAGAUCUCUUGAGUCGGGUCGAUGGAGACUCGUUUCCACCUUUCCCCUUAACUGCAUUGUUCAACAUCUAUUGAAUUUGCUCAUUAUUCUAUUGUGAGUUGGGAUUGAUUUUUUGGUUUAAUGUUCUAUUCUGGGUUUUGCAUUGACUGAUUUGUUUUUUUAAUGAAUAUACAAUUUUUUUGUUAAUUUUUUUAUGGUUUUUUGUGGUUGUUCUUUGUUCUUUUGAGCUUUUGUUCAUUAUUCUUUUUUUCUAACGAUUGUUUUUCGUCUAUUUCACACAUGGGUUGAUGCUGGUAGAUGGAAAGGAAAUAAUGUUAAGAUACAAUAUCAUAUAUAAUAAAUGGAUCUUAUGGUGAAGGAACACACCUUGCCAUGUAGAUUCUUUCUAAUGAGAGAAAAUUUUUAAGAUACAAUUUCUUCAAGCUAAGAGCAUCUCUAGUGUGGGUUUCUUACUAGGUUCCUUCACUUGAAGAUACAGUUUUGUGAAGAAACUGUCCAGUGGAGAGUGUCUCCGUGGCGAAUGGAUUCCUUAAAAAAAAGAAGCACAUCUUACAUAAAAAAUUGGUGCUUAACAAUAAAAUAUUAUUAUCGAGCAUCAACCACCCAUGUACAAAAAGAGAAAAAAUAACGGAAAGAAGAACAAUCAACACAUCUCAUCUCAGAAUACAAACCAAAAAACACAACCAUCUCACAAAUCUAAAAAAUACAACCAUCUAAAAUACAAGCCGUGAUGGUGGUGCAUGGUGCGAUGGUGGUGGCACGAUGGUGGUAGCGCGAUAGUGGUGCUGCGAUGAAGAAAAGACAAGAAACAUGGGUGUGGCGUGAUGAAAAAACAAGAGCAAGAGAAUGAGGGGAGUGGAAGUUGGGGAGGUAUAACAAAGAAAAGAAAAGAAAUAGGGGUGUGAGGAAGCGAGAAAGAGGACACAAAUUGAGAUUUGAGAGAAGGAGAAAGAGGAGGUCAUAGAGCACAAGUGAACAUUGGGAAGUGAGGAAGUUUAAUUAGUGGGUAGGUGGGGAAGGGUCUAGAAUCGUGGAUUUUGAGAAU
rnacentral:lncRNA from 1 species